CAAUGUUUAUUCCACAUUCUGUUCCUGCUUUUACGAUGAGCUUUCAGUCUGUUAACCCAAUAACAGAGCAUGGCUUUCUGAACAGGACCAUUUGGCGUUGUGACCUUGUCACUUUUAUUAAGUUUCAUUCAUUUUGGCCUUUUAGAUUUGUAAACAUUAUCAUGAAAAUAUCUAGAUGGACUGACAAAAAAGGCAAGUCAUUACUGAACGCCAAUCCUUAAUGAAAAGCUCGCAUAAAUGCAUUUAGAACAUGUAGUUUAUAACAUGCAAGUUCCAUUUCCAGGGGUUUACUGACUCAUAUGCACAAACAUGUAAAAGGAAAUGGUUGUUUAAUACAUAACAUGUCACAUUGCAAUGCAUACCACUAAAAUUACUAGUUUAGGAAUGCAGAGUAAAAAGGGGUUAAUGUUUGAAAAUACUCUUUUAUAUUUUAUCUUCAAAAUAGACAAUGCAUCCUGCCAACAUCUCGAUUUCUCAUUGCAUCAGGAUGGGUUUCCACAUCUUUGAUGCUGCUGUAUGAAAUAACUCGGUGCUUUAUAAUGAAUUUCAGGGAAUUGGUCAUAAAAAUUGCAUUGUUCUUCCUGAAUGUGCAUACAUCAACGUCACCUCGCUCCUUAUCAAGGGAGUAACUGAAAACAAAGCUAAGGAUGGAUCUGGUGGUUGAGGACCAAUGGCUUGACUGUCAAGAGUUGCCUGAGGAGCCCAUCAUUAAUACGUCACAAGAGCAUAAAUGCGGGACCAGUAUCCGGUUGCCUUCAACUGUGCGGGAAAGCUCAGCUGCUUCACUUUGAGUAUUAGAGGUAUCUCUAAAGAAGGUUAUGACAACAUUGUGACUUUAAAACACUGAAAUGUGUCAUUCACUGUAGUAAUAAAUAAAUACAUUGUAAUAAGUAUUGGAAUGAAAUAUAAGACAUACAUAUCAUACACACAAAGUCUACCCUGUUUUUAAGAGGUACUUACAGAUGUACAGUGGUCCGUUUUAACAUGACUGACCCUUUCGCCUGAUAUGAAACACUGAGAAGUGAGUAAAGUUUCAAGGUGACGUGUGUAAUGUUCUCUCAACUUGUAGAGUGGUUCUCAAACUGUUGUGUGCGAGUUUAGUCAAUAAAAAGACUUGAAUAAAUAAAAGCACCAACACUGAAUUAACCAACUAACAUAAUGAAUUGACACUCAUUUUAUGCUUAAAUGUUUGUUUUCAAGUGUACCUAAACGUUCGGUCCAAUUUCUUAGCUAGCAAACAGUCGGCUCAUCAGUUUAUUAGCUAAAAGAAAUGAUCAUUCCUAUAAAAAGGAACAAAACAGCCGUAUGGAAAAUUUACUGUUGCUCAUGACAGAAUCGGUGAAAAGGGCAUUGAAUGACCCCGUUGAAUAUGAUUUGGUGGUCUGCUUUUGUUGCUUUACUCUUGAAGUGGUUGACCCAAAAUGUUUAAGAACCACUACCAUAAACACUGCAGUGCUUUUGUUUUGUAGGUUGGGCGUUCCAACAUGUCAACUUCUGAAUUGGUAAAAUUUUUGGGAGGAGUACCUGUUUGGUGAAUAAUGGAAGACAGGGGGCAGUGUUUGGGAUGCAAGUGUUAUUUUGGCCAUCAGAUGUUAAGCAGAAAUUACACACUUCACCUUUAAAUUAGUGUGAAACGUUUGCGAAUGUGUCUUUACCUUGUCAUUUAAAUUUUUACAUACAUAUGCAGCGUCAUCACUGCUUCAUAUAGGAGGGAUUUCUCUCUGGAAGUGUUCGUCCUGAUUGUUUCAUUGUACAUGCAUUCGCUAAACCUUUACAUCAUUGCACAUCUCAUAGAAUUAGCACACAAAUUCAUUUAAAUCAUUAAAUAUAAAACCAAAGCACAAAUUUCCAGUGACAAAGGCAACAGUAUAAAUUUGUACACUACUUAUGUUGCCACAGAGAUCGAGCACAAACUAAGUGCCUCACCAUUAACAACAAGCAUUCCCAGGUCCAGUGCGGGACCACACUGGUUUAAAGAGGUAACAUAUGCGUUAUACAGUACAGUGACAGCAGCAGAGGGUAGAGAUUAGUUGGUUAGUUGAGACGUCAUGGAGUUGCGUAAUAUCCAUAUCAACAUUUUGGCUCAGGUGAGGAGUUUGCAGUCUGAACAACAGAAAAAAGGCCAAUGUGACCAGUAAAGGUGAGUAAAAGGUAGUAUAUGAUCUGAGCAAGUGGGGAUGAUAAUGAAGAACGAGGAAGAGGAGGUCUCCUGCUCCUCUGUGUUCUCAGGAGGAUGCCGGUGAUCCACACCAUCCCUGAGUUCCUAGACAAAUAUCAACCCGUGUAGCAUUGUUAUAAGGUAUAAAGCCUUUGGGAGGUCAGAGAAGUGUGUCAAAGGCUGCAUU
ensembl:lncRNA